CGUUGAAACACCAGUUCUCUUACGAUCACCGAAGUUAAACAACGUCGAUCCUGGUUAGUACCUAGAUGGGUGACCGCUUGAGAAUACCAAGUGAUGUAAG